rnacentral:rRNA from 1 species
CCUACGGGAGGCAGCAGUGAGGAAUAUUGGUCAAUGGGCUUACGCCUGAACCAGCCAAGUCGCGUGAGGGAAGACGGCCCUAUGGGUUGUAAACCUCUUUUGUCAGGGAGCAACGCGGGCUACGUGUAGCCGGACGGAGAGUACCUGAAGAAAAAGCAUCGGCUAACUCCGGGCCAGCAGCCGCGGUAAUACGGCGGAUGCGAGCGUUAGCCGGAUUUACUGGGUGUAAAGGGAGCGUAGACGGCAAGGCAAGUCAGAAGUUAAAGCCCACGGCUCAACCAGGGGACUGCUUUUGAAACUGUCAAACUAGAGUACGCGAGAGGUAAGCGGAAUUCCUAGUGUAGCGGUGAAAUGCGUAGAUAUUAGGCGGAACACCAGUGGCGCAGGCGUCUUACUGGACCGCACCUGACGUUCAUGCUCGAAAGCGUGGGGAGCAAACAGGAUUAGAUACCCGUGUAGUC